GGAGAGGUGGCCGAGUUGGCUUAAGGCAGCUGCCUGCUAAGCAGUUGUCCCGUUAAAUCGGGACCCCGGGUUCGAAUCCCGGCCUCUCCG
rnacentral:tRNA from 1 species